rnacentral:rRNA from 1 species
UACGUAGGGAGCAAGCGUUGUCCGGAAUCAUUGGGCGUAAAGCGCGCGUAGGUGGCUUCGUAAGUCCGUUGUGAAAGUCAAAGGCUCAACCUUUGAAAGCCGAUGGAUACUGCGGAGCUAGAGUACGGAAGAGGCGAGUGGAAUUCCUGGUGUAGCGGUGGAAUGCGCAGAUAUCAGGAGGAACACCAAUAGCGAAGGCAGCUCGCUGGGACGUUACUGACACUGAGACGCGAAAGCGCGGGGAGCGAACGGG